CUUGAAUGCUGCUGGCUACGAAGGGAGUCCCUGAUAUGUCUGUAGCUCUCUCUUCAGCUUUAACCAAUGGAGUGUCAACUCAGCUGAGAAGAAUAUAAAGGAUCUGCUCUUUCAUGUACGUGUUUGUUUCCUGCAAGCUGGAAAACCAUAAACAACUUGAGG